UGAGGUAGAGAGCACGACGAGAUUGGAGCCUUCGGAUACGAAAACGGAGGAGUGACAUCACGAGUUGAUGCCGUGGAGGAAGCUUGGUCUCAGCGAUUGAACAGAGCAUGACCACGAAUUCGACGAGACAAAGUCGACACAGAGCAGAGCACAGUGGUGAGGAGCUAAAAAAGACGAUUAGAGGUCGGGAUGAGCCAUACCUCUUUCGUGGAUUUCUCUUUUUUUU
rnacentral:lncRNA from 1 species